rnacentral:lncRNA from 1 species
ACCCUGGAGAAAGAAUCUUACAAAGAAUACUAAAGAGCAUCCAAGUGUGAAGAAUGAAACACACAGAUGAGCCCCAAGAGGAUGAGGAAGGGAGAGGCUGGUGGGGGUCUGAUUCUCAUCUCCACCUUAACAGAAUGCACAUGAAGUCCAGCCAUGGUGUAGCCAAGGAGACCCACUAAGACCACCAAAAGCUUGGAAAUGAGGAUGCAGGGGCAAAGGACGGCAUUAUAGGCGGUAUUACAGCAUGUUUUUAUGCUGAUGGAAAUGAUCCAGUGAAGAGAGAAAAACGGAAGAAGCAGGAGAGAGAAGAGAUAACUGCAAGACCCAGGCCUUGAAUAAGCAAUAGAGGAUGGGAUCCAGUUCACACCUAGUGGGGCUAACCUGGCAUAUAAUAACACAAAGUUCAUCCAUUUUAUUAGGAGGAAAAGCAGAGUUUGUGAGUAUAGAUUUGGGUAGGUAGGCAGAUGGUGUGGUGGAAAGGAAGCAAGUUCUCUGCUUCCAUCUUAGGGAAGUAAGGAAGAAGGUCAUCAGCUGAGAAGAAGGAAGGGGGAGGAAUUGUUGGAGGUUAGAGUAAAGGUGAAAAAGUAUGAAAUAGUCAUCUCAGAGAAUGAGGAGAGAGAAUUGACUGGGGAAAUGCGAUAAGAUUGCUUGGCUGCACUGAGGUCCCACUAGAGGUCUGCCAUCAUAAAUUUCAAGUGAGACCGGUCAGAAAUGGUUGAGUGUUUUUCACCAGCUUGCUUAACAAGGGCAAGCAAAAUAAUGGAGUUGAGAGAAUGUACAAGGAAUUGACAAUAUGUGCAAGAAGUGGUUAUGGGAAUGGGCUGUGGACUCUAAGGUGAAAUAGGAGAAUAAGGAGAGAGUAAAGGAGGUAAGAUGCAGUGAAAAGUUGGUGCAAUGGCGGGACUGGGGACCUAAAGGGGCCCAAGAUUGAUUGGCUUCAGAACACUAGAGAAAGAGAGCUGGGAUGAUAUGAGGUGGGAAUAUGGGAAGCUGGAAACUAAGGCUUGGGAAUGGAGCAGUUUUGUUAAUGCCACCUUGGCAAUAGGUAGCUGAGAUGGAGAUGAUAAAGACCACAGAAAGUGAGGAUGUCAAGGCAAUGAGAGGUCACAAUGUUGGAAGGUCUCUCUAGGUGUUUGUUGAAAUGACAAAGAGUUAAGAAAUUUGUAGUGGUGGAGAGAAAGAUAGUGUUCCUGGUGAUAAAAUCUUCAGUGAAAAGCAGUGAUGGUGUGUGUCUGAUAGAAGAUGAUUGCAAUAGGGAGAUUGUGGCAGCCACAAGAAUGCCCUUCUCAGACCUCUUACUGGCAGGAGUGUAACUGACCUGUGGCUGCACUCUGAAAUCCAUUAUCACAUUGAAGCCACACCCUCCACCAGCUGCUCUCAGCCAUGAGUGAGCACAGCAGGGACACUAGGGCAGGCGCCUCAAUGGGAGAUGCAGGAUUCCUCUGAUCUGCCCCUUUGGCCCAAGGACUCCUCAUUAGUUUUGCCAAAACUUUCUUAGACAUGCACUGAAGUCAGACUUUCCCAGUUACCCUUCCUUCUACAGAAUUAGACCUGCAUCAUGUGUGAAGGCUCUCUCUGCUUCCUCCAGCUCCCUCUCCAUUUUUCCCCCCAACAGGUAGUUUCUCUAGUAAAUCUCUUGCAUGUCUAAUCUUGUCUUAGUGUCAACUUUUCAGAUGACCUGAGCUAGCAGAGAGAGGAUAUGGGGAGUGUAUUGGUCCAUUUUGUGUUGCCAUAAAGGAAUACCUGAUACUGGAUAAUUUAU